GAUGUCCCCAAAGACCCCAAAUAUCCCUGUCCCCAAACAUCCCCGGAUGUCCCCAAGUGUCCCCAAAUGUCCCCAGAGGUCCCCAAAUAUCCCCGUCUGCAAGUGUCCCAAAUGUCCCCAAGUGUCCCUAAAGUGUCCCCAAAUAUCCCCAUCCCCAAAUUCCCCAGAUGUCCCCAGUGUCCCCCAGUGUCCCCAGUGUCCCCGCUCACGGCCAGCACGGCGCCAUCGCAGAUGACGAGGUAUCCCAGCUGGUCGGGGACGCGCUCCAGGCCCUGCGUCAGCGCCGUCGUCUGGGGACGGGGGGGACA
rnacentral:lncRNA from 1 species